rnacentral:rRNA from 1 species
CCUACGGGCGGCUGCAGUCGAGAAUCAUUCACAAUGGGGGAAACCCUGAUGGUGCGACGCCGCGUGGGGGAAUGAAGGUCUUCGGAUUGUAAACCCCUGUCAUGUGGGAGCAAAUUAAAAAGAUAGUACCACAAGAGGAAGAGACGGCUAACUCUGUGCCAGCAGCCGCGGUAAUACAGAGGUCUCAAGCGUUGUUCGGAAUCACUGGGCGUAAAGCGUGCGUAGGCUGUUUCGUAAGUCGUGUGUGAAAGGCGCGGGCUCAACCCGCGGACGGCACAUGAUACUGCGAGACUAGAGUGAUGGAGGGGGAACCGGAAUUCUCUGUGUAGCAGUGAAAUGCGUAGAUAUCGGGAGGAACACUCGUGGCGAAGGCGGGUUCCUGGACAGUAACUGACGCUGAGGCACGAAGGCCAGGGGAGCGAAAGGGAUUAGAUACCCUGGUAGUC